rnacentral:rRNA from 1 species
GACCUCAGUUCAGGUGAGAUUACCGGCUGAAUUUAAGCAUAUUACUAAGCCGAGGAAAAGAAACUAACAAGGAUUCCCCUAGUAGCAGCGAGCGAACAGGGAAGAGCCCAGCGCUGAAUCCCCCGGGCCUCGCUCGGCGGGAAAUGUAGCGUUUGGGAGGGCCCGUCAACACGGCGACUCGCUCACUGGUUCAAGUCCAACUUGAAUGGGGCCACACAGAGGGUGACAGGCCCGUAGAGCAGGAGCGGUUGUCGUGUGGGUCUCUCCUUAGAGUCGGUUUGCUUGAGAGUGCAGACUUAAGUGGGUGGUAAACUCCAUCUAAGGCUAAAUAUGACCACGAGACCGAUAGCACACAAGUACCGUGAGGGAAAGGUGAAAAGAACUUUGAAGAGAGAGUUCAAGAGUACGUGAAACUGAAGUGGUGUAAACGGACGAGUUCGAAAAGUCCGAAUGGUGAGAUUCAAGCUUACCGUGCCGGUGGCCCUCGGGUUCAGAUGGCGUCGUCAGCUCGGGCUUCGGUUCGGGUCAUACGGCGUCACUCGUCCUGGGGGUAUCUGUCUGGUGCGGUGGGCUGCACUUCUCGCCUAGUAGGACGUCGCGACCCGUUGGGAUGUUCCGUUCACUGGCCCUCGGUGGAGCCCGCGCCGGAGCGUGGCCUUGUGCCGCGUUGCUGUUUGCACGGACCCGGGGUGACCUGAUCGGCGCCCGACGGUAUCAAAGCUUGGGAAGAGGCCGCACAGAGGAUGCGUUCGAUGGCCGUUUCGGCCUACACUCGGACAGGCCUGCACCCGGUCAGCGGCG